GCUGAGAUAGCCAAGGUGGUCAAGGCACCUGUCUGAAGAACAGGCUAUGCGUGUUCGACUCACGCUCUCAGCA
rfam:Candidatus Levybacteria bacterium RBG_13_35_9 RBG_13_scaffold_19785, whole genome shotgun sequence.